GUGAUCUUUGUUCCCUCCUGAAAAACAAUGGUUACAGACCCUCUUGUAUACUUCCACCAGUACUGCUCUGGGUUCCUCAAGUUCACAAGUGUUCUUUUUCCAUCAGUGAAAUAGCACUGGAGACCCCUUUACUGAAGAUGGUACUGACUACUGGCUGAUGCAUAAAAUUGAAAGGGGGGAAAAAAUGACCUGGACCUUUCAUUUCAAGUAAGAAAUGAAUUGCUCUUGUUAGGCUAACAAUCUGGAAUAUUUUCUUAAUUCUAGCAAUAGUAUUGCAUAUCUCUACUUAAGUCACCAAGACUUAAGUAUUGUUUCCAGUUGUGAUUACCUUAUGUAGGCUGGUGUGGUGCUAGCUGCUUAUUUUGACUAUUCUCACUGCCAGUACAUGGAGGAACUAAUUGUGAAGUCCCGUGUAAAGGGCAAAAACUACAGGAGCAAGUCAAGAAGUGAGCAGAGUGUAGCUGUACUACUACUUCACUUCGAGUACUUAAAAAAAAAAAAAC